UACGUAGGGUGCGAGCGUUAAUCGGAAUUACUGGGCGUAAAGCGUGCGCAGGCGGUUCGUUGUGUCGGCGGUGAAAGCCCCGGGCUCAACCUGGGAAUGGCCGUUGAAACUGGCGAACUGGAGUGUGGCAGAGGGGGGGUGGAAUUCCGCGUGUAGCAGUGAAAUGCGUAGAUAUCAAGAGGAACACCUGAGGUGAAGACGGGGUUGCUGGGCUGACACUGACGCUGAGGCGCGAAAGCCAGGGGAGCAAACGGG
rnacentral:rRNA from 1 species